rnacentral:rRNA from 1 species
AGCGAACGCUGGCGGCAGGCUUAACACAUGCAAGUCGAACGAUCCUUCGGGAUAGUGGCGGACGGGUGAGUAACACGUGGGAACGUGCCCUUAGGUUCGGAACAACACAGGGAAACUUGUGCUAAUACCGGAUAAGCCCUUACGGGGAAAGAUUUAUCGCCUUUGGAGCGGCCCGCGUCUGAUUAGCUUGUUGGUGAGGUAAAGGCUCACCAAGGCUACGAUCAGUAGCUGGUCUGAGAGGAUGACCAGCCACACUGGGACUGAGACACGGCCCAGACUCCUACGGGAGGCAGCAGUGGGGAAUCUUGCGCAAUGGGGGAAACCCUGACGCAGCCAUGCCGCGUGGAUGAUGAAGGUCUUAGGAUUGUAAAUCCUUUCAGCGGGACGAUAAUGACGGUACCCGCAGAAGAAGCCCCGGCU